rnacentral:piRNA from 11 species
GCAUUGGUGGUUCAGUGGUAGAAUUCUCG